GCCUGGGUGGCUCAGUCGGUUAAGCAUCCGACUUCAGCUCAGGUCAUUAUCCCAUGGUUUGUGGGUUUGAGCCCUGCCUUGGGCU
rnacentral:tRNA from 1 species